GUUUUUGCUGCGAUACGAUAUUAAUAGCGAGGCGAAAGCGGUCGCGGUGCUGUUGACGUUACACUUUUUUUGAGACAAGCAGGCACAACAGUGGAUUCUAUGCCCUGGAGACUGACUGACAGGCUGAGGUCAUAAGGCAAGGCAGCUUUAUUUCUACAGCACCUUUCAGCAGCAAG